CUGGACCAGCCAGCACUCUCAACCCCCAUCCCACAAGCUGCUUGGGGCGCAGCCAGUUUUAUCAGCAUUCACCACCACUGGAACCAAGCAAGUGGAGCUGGUAGCCCUGCCCAUACUUACAAUUACUUGACAAUUCCCAUCAUAAUAUUCUGUUUUCAGUUGCAUGUGUAUGUGUUUCUGUUUAGUAUUUUAUUGUACUAGUUAAAGAAUGAAUCUGUUUUUAUAUCUUAUAUCUUCUUCCUUUCCUUCCUUAUCUGAAUAGAGAUGUGGAAAGCAGCACAUGAUACCGAGAAAUACCAACUAGGAGACUUAAUGUUCUUCUAGUCCAGGGGUUCUCAACCCUUUUUGUACCAGGACCCAUUUGCAAAUAGCCAGUCCUGAGCCAGUGCCUGUCCUUCUGACCUGCUGCCCCCUCCCCUCAGUGUGUCAGGCAGGGGGGGUAUGUGUGGGACAUAGGGGGCCCCAAGCAACCUCUCGCAGGCUGGAAUUCUGCCAACCUGCAAGGGAAAAGCCACCAUUUCCCACAUUUUCCUCCUUUAAAG